GAUGGAGGGGGAUGUCCCUAGGCCCACCAUCUGUGACGACCCUGCUCCCCACUGCCCUGUGCUUUCUUCCUUCUUGGAGGCUCACUGCCGGGUUCUAGGCAAGGUUGGGAGAGGAGGGCAGCAGGAGUAGUAGUGGUCUCCUUCCUUACCUCAGCCUCCCAAAGUGCUGGCAUUUACAAGCAUGAGCCGCCGCACCUGGCCAUCUGCCCACCCCCCUACCGCCGACUCCUGUUCUUGAUGGAAAAUAAAAAGCUGAAGCUCA